GAGAAGAAUUUAAGAUCUGCUAACUCUUUACUCUGAUAUUAAUACAUCAGUCUUCUUU
rnacentral:tRNA from 1 species